GGCUUUGUAGCUCAGCAGAUAGAGCGCUUGCCGCGUCGAGGCAUGGUGUUUCUGCCGCCGGUUCGAAUCCAGCCGAAGCCC
rnacentral:tRNA from 1 species